UGGCUCAGAACGAACGCUGGCGGCAGGCUUAACACAUGCAAGUCGAACGCCCCGCAAGGGGAGUGGCAGACGGGUGAGUAACGCGUGGGAACGUACCCUUUACUACGGAAUAACUCAGGGAAACUUGUGCUAAUACCGUAUGUGCCCUUCGGGGGAAAGAUUUAUCGGUAAAGGAUCGGCCCGCGUUGGAUUAGCUAGUUGGUGGGGUAAAGGCCUACCAAGGCGACGAUCCAUAGCUGGUCUGAGAGGAUGAUCAGCCACAUUGGGACUGAGACACGGCCCAAACUCCUACGGGAGGCAGCAGUGGGGAAUAUUGGACAAUGGGCGCAAGCCUGAUCCAGCCAUGCCGCGUGAGUGAUGAAGGCCCUAGGGUUGUAAAGCUCUUUCACCGGUGAAGAUAAUGACGGUAACCGGAGAAGAAGCCCCGGCUAACUUCGUGCCAGCAGCCGCGGUAAUACGAAGGGGGCUAGCGUUGUUCGGAAUUACUGGGCGUAAAGCGCACGUAGGCGGGUAUUUAAGUCAGGGGUGAAAUCCCGGAGCUCAACUCCGGAACUGCCUUUGAUACUGGGUACCUAGAGUAUGGAAGAGGUAAGUGGAAUUCCGAGUGUAGAGGUGAAAUUCGUAGAUAUUCGGAGGAACACCAGUGGCGAAGGCGGCUUACUGGUCCAUUACUGACG
rnacentral:rRNA from 1 species